AUGGCGGUGACCGACCGCGGCCUCGUCUCCAACAUGAUCCGCGGGCUCUCCAACAAGUUUGCCCACGCCAUCUCUACCAUGACGUACGACGAUUCCAAGCUGCCCACGUUCCUGCAAGCACGCACUUAUCUUCUCCAGGAAGAGCGCCGCAUCGAUCACGCCGCCUCCCACGAGUCCGCGACUGCGCUCUACGCCGGGCGCCUUCUGCCUCCACCGCCUGCUACCACUUCUGCUCCGCCAUCUGCUGUGCCCUACCCAUCUAGUGGCAACGGCGCCCAUGGCGUCCCAGGCGGCGCCAGUGGUCAUGCGGGCAACGGCGGCGGGCAGCGCGGCCGCAAGCGCCGCAAGGGCGGCAACGGCGGCGGCCAAGGUGGCCAUGGCGGGCCCCCUCCACCACAGGCUGCGCCACCUCUGCCUGCGUACGCGCCGCGUCCGCCCUCCUACGGCCACGCCGGCGUCAACCCCUGGACCGGCACGUUCAAUGCAUGGCCCAUAACGAUGCGCCCAUCUGCUACACCUACGGCUGGUCUGCUCGGCCCUCGUCCUCCGCUUGGGCUCGCCGCGACAACCUACGGCGCCGGCCCGCCUACUGCACUUGUGCCACCGGCCGCCGCACCGGUCCCGUGGGACACCAGCGCCCUUCAGGCCGCCCUUCUCGCCAUGCAGCAGCAGCCCUACUCCGGUGGCGGUGACUGGAUCCUCGACACCGGUGCGUCGUCGCAUAUGGCAGGCAACCCCGGACCUUCGCACUGGGACGGUGGUGCUCCGAUGUAA
rnacentral:rRNA from 1 species